rnacentral:rRNA from 1 species
UACGUAGGUGGCAAGCGUUGUCCGGAUUUACUGGGCGUAAAGAGCGCGCAGGCGGUCGAUUUAGUCGCGUGUGAAAGCCCCCGGCUCAACUGGGGAGGGUCACGCGAUACUGAUCGACUCGAAGGCAGGAGAGGGUAGUGGAAUUCCCGGUGUAGUGGUGAAAUGCGUAGAUAUCAGGAAGAACACCCGUGGCGAAAGCGGCUCUCGUGGAACGGUACUGACGCUGAGACGCGAAAGCGUGGGGGAGCGAACAGG